rnacentral:misc_RNA from 1 species
UCGCAUCUUACGAUGGCAGUCUCAUUAGAGUCCUCAGCUUAACCUGUUAGUAACUAAUGAUGAGGGUUGCGCUCGUUAUGGCACUUAAGCCGACACCUCACGGCACGAGCUGACGACAACCAUGCAGCACCUACACAUUUGCCCCGAAGGGAAGACUCGUCUCUGAGUCGGUCAAAUGCAUUUCAAGCCCGGGUAAGGUUCCUCGCGUAUCAUCGAAUUAAACCACAUGUUCCUCCGCUUGUGCGGGCCCCCGUCAAUUCCUUUGAGUUUCAUUCUUGCGAACGUACUCCCCAGGUGGAUUACUUAACGCUUUCGCUAAGCCGCUUACUGUGUAUCGCAAACAGCGAGUAAUCAUCGUUUACUGCGUGGACUAC